UGGGGAAUAUUGCACAAUGGGCGCAAGCCUGAUGCAGCAACGCCGCGUGAACGAUGAAGGUCUUCGGAUCGUAAAGUUCUGUUGCAGGGGAAGAUAAUGACGGUACCCUGUGAGGAAGCCCCGGCUAACUACGUGCCAGCAGCCGCGGUAAUACGUAGGGGGCUAGCGUUAUCCGGAUUUACUGGGCGUAAAGGGUGCGUAGGUGGUCUUUCAAGUCGGUGGUUAAAGGCUACGGCUCAACCGUAGUUAGCCUCCGAAACUGGAAGACUUGAGUGCAGGAGAGGAAAGUGGAAUUCCCAGUGUAGCGGUGAAAUGCGUAGAUAUUGGGAGGAACACCAGUAGCGAAGGCGGCUUUCUGGACUGCAACUGACGCUGAGGCUCGAAAGCGUGGGGAGCGAACAGG
rnacentral:rRNA from 1 species